rnacentral:lncRNA from 1 species
GGACACUUUGUUAGUACUUUUUCUUUCUGCCAAACGUCUCCAGUGAAAAACGGUCAGAACCACAUCCAAAAUACUCCUCCUAAGGAAGAGGUCAUAUCUCUCUUCUCUGGCACGAGAACACGCGGCUGUGUGGUAGGGAAAGCCAACCCUUACUGCAGCACGGUCCUGCACAGAAGCCCCGAGAGGGGAAGCCUUGCUCCCACCGCGAGCAGACCGGGAGCGCUGCGGGACGCGAACCCGGGCGCGGGGGAUGGCGGAGCGCCCGUCGGGCGGCGGCUCCAGCCGGGGGAGCCCAGCGGGGACGCACUGCCGUGUGCGCGCAGGUACGUGCAUGUGCACACGCGGAGGGUGCGCGCGGCCUCGCGUACGUGUGGCCGCGGAGGGAGGGAGGGAGGGAGGGAGGGAGGGGAAAAGCGAGAGGGGGAGGGCGGGGGCUGCGUGCGCACCCCGCGGGGCGGCCGCGCGGUUGCAUCAGACGGGGCGGGUCGGGACCGGGGCCGCGCUCCGCCCUGCCCCUGCCCCUCCGCAGGCCCGGCCCGGCCCCGCCUGGCCGGCGGAGCGCUGCCGGGCUCACGAAAGCAGCGAGGCAAGGUUGCAUCCAGCCGCUGGACCAAGAAAUGUUACGGCGGAAACAGGGAGAGGGGGAAAUACAGUUUAAAAAUUUGCCCCCGCCGCGCCUCUAGUUCCCCAUCAGGCUGCGGCCGUGCAAGCGCCACAAGAGGCCCCCGAGAGAGGGGGCGUGGGGCGGGCCCGAGUCGUAGCCGCCUUGCCCCCUCGCUCUGGGCAGGGCGGCGGGAGAUGUUCCCCACUCUUGCUGCGGCCCCGUGCACCCUCCCCCGGGGGUCACCGAGGAGGAGGCGCGGGCGGGCGCGGCGUUCCCCCGGCGCUAUUGCGAUAGCGGCGGGCGCGGCCCCCGGCGGGAGCGACGGUCCUCGGCUGCCGCGCAGGCGGAGAAGCGGAAUCGGUCGGCCGCGGCAACAAGGACAGCAGCGACGAAAAAGAAAAAAAAAGUUUCAAAUAAUAGCGGGGGGCGGGGGGCGGUUAGAGGGCACAUCCCAACCCUAA